GUAUCUAUGGUGUGGGCAUUACAGUAAAAGUGAUUUGAAGUGAUCCUAUGCUUCAUGAAAGGAUUCAAUAUCUUUUUUAUAAAAAUUGAAAAUUUCAUUCCUUAAUUC
rfam:Ricinus communis cultivar Hale ctg_1100012356397, whole genome shotgun sequence.